rnacentral:rRNA from 1 species
UACGUAGGGUGCAGGCGUUAAUCGGAAUUACUGGGCGUAAAGCGUGCGCAGGCGGUUUGCUAAGACAGGUGUGAAAUCCCCGGGCUUAACCUGGGAACUGCGCUUGUUACUGGCAGGCUUGAGUGUGGCAGAGGGGGGUGGAAUUCCACGUGUAGCAGUGAAAUGCGUAGAGAUGUGGAGGAACACCGAUGGCGAAGGCAGCCCCCUGGGCUAACACUGGACGCCUCGAUGCACGAAAGCGUGGGGAGCGAA